GCCUGGGUGGCUCAGUUGGUUGAGCAUCCGACUUCGGCUCGGGUCAUGUUCUCGUGGUUCGUGAGUUUGAGCCCCACAUCGGGCU
rnacentral:tRNA from 1 species